UCCUAUGAAUAUGAUCAUCUUGUAAGAAGGGGAGAAAAACCAUGUGGCGUCCUGAUGAAUUUGCUGCAUCCCAGUUUCAUUAGCAUAAAUUCAUAAUCACCCGUAUUAUUUAGCUGCAACAAAGUAGGUACAUAUACUUCUCUCCUCACCUACCUACGUGCUUGACUUUUCAUCAUCAUCAUCAACCUUAGACACUCAUGAAUUACUGAAAAAUAAUAUUUAGAUCUUGUAACUAUUGCCUUGUGUUUGAGUUUCUUUGCAGCUAACAAUGAACUUGAUUUGACACGAAUUCUUCAGGAAAAUUUAAAUGGAAUAAUAAUUAGGUAAAUUGGCAAAUAAAGAACAACAACGAUUUCAUUUUAUUUUGAUAGCUGCAGUACAAGAGGGAAACAAACCACCACAUGUGUAGCUCAUUUGCUGCCACUACUUAAUUACGGGCAUAACUGAGAAACACACCUAAGAGAGAUGUAGACACAGACAGAACAAUGUGCUGUGUAUUGUAUAGCCUGUCUUCUUCA
rnacentral:lncRNA from 1 species